rnacentral:lncRNA from 1 species
GUCGUUAACCUUCAAGUACCCAUGGAAUGCCUAACCGAGACACUAUUCUGGUGAGAAGCUGGGGAACUGUGCAGCAUAAGGAAUUAAGCCUCGCCUGUAGAAUGGUUAUGUUCAAGGUGGCAAUAUGGUGUUUUGGGGAGCAGUAACGGCUUUGCUGUUAGAAAUGACCACCUGUGGGAAGAGUCACUUUGUG